AAGUCGUAACAAGGUUUCCGUAGGUGAACCUGCGGAAGGAUCAUUAACACGUAUCCAACGUUAAAACCCUGUGAACCUGCUCUUGUGGCCCGUGUGAAGCAGCAAUUCCGGUAAAUCAAGUGGAGCUCCAAAAGCGCACGCUGCAAUUGAGUGGUAGAAGUAGUGGCAUGACGUCCAAGCCUCCAGUGAAUGAAUCACUGGAAAGUGUAAGGAUAACGCUCGGUUGCUAGAGGUCGAUCACCGACCGGCAGACAUGCCGCAGGGUCACCGCGCCCCUGAUCACUCCCUCUGAAAUGGAUACCGGCGCCGUUGAAAAGCCGCGCUAAAAAAAAACCGAACAACUGUUAACAAUGGAUAUCUUGGUUCUC
rnacentral:misc_RNA from 1 species